rnacentral:lncRNA from 10 species
UAUCCGAAGAUAAGUUCCGCUUUCCUCAUUUCAGUUUGAUGAUAAACUCCAUACGUUUGGAUUAAUUGAGAGGAAAGGCAAGAGGCCAUAUAAAAAUGUUUGCAAGUUUGGGUUGUAGACCUAAAAAACGUUUUAAAAGGUCUAAGAAGAAGUGUAGACCACAGCAGUCUGGUCCGGUGGAGAUGGUGGUGGUGAGAUGCAGGGAGAUGGAGAGAAAAAUGGGAGCACCACCUUUCUUUACAAAGCCAAAAGCUACAUCCCCAUUGACCUAGAUGUCAUAAGAGUUUUUUU